CACGAACGCUGGCGGCAGGCUUAACACAUGCAAGUCGAACGCCCCGCAAGGGGAGUGGCAGACGGGUGAGUAACGCGUGGGAAUCUACCUAGUUCUACGGAACAACAGUUGGAAACGACUGCUAAUACCGUAUACGCCCUACGGGGGAAAGAUUUAUCGGAAUUAGAUGAGCCCGCGUAAGAUUAGCUAGUUGGUGAGGUAAUGGCUCACCAAGGCGACGAUCUUUAGCUGGUCUGAGAGGAUGAUCAGCCACACUGGGACUGAGACACGGCCCAGACUCCUACGGGAGGCAGCAGUGGGGAAGAUUGGACAAUGGGCGCAAGCCUGAUCCAGCCAUGCCGCGUGAGUGAUGAAGGCCUUAGGGUUGUAAAGCUCUUUCACCGAUGAAGAUAAUGACGGUAGUCGGAGAAGAAGCCCCGGCUAACUUCGUGCAGCCGCCGCCGUAAAAC
rnacentral:rRNA from 1 species